rnacentral:rRNA from 1 species
ACUCCUACGGAGGCAGCAGUAGGAAUUUCCGCAAUGGACGAAAGUCAUGACGGAGCAAUGCCGCGUGAGUGAUGAAGGUUUUCGAAUUCGUAAAGCUCUGAUUGUAAGGGAAGAAUAGCAAGAAUAGGAAAUGAUUCUUGUCUGACGGUACCUUACCAGAAAGCCACGGCUAACUACGUGCCAGCAGCCGCGGUAAUACGUAGGUGGCAAAGCGUUAUCCGGAAUUAUUGGCGUAAAGCGCAUGUAGGCGGCUCUUUGAAGUC